GUGAGAGUAAACUGGCAGAGGGAGGGGGAGAACAGAACAAUGGGGAAAAACCCAUUAGGCAAUUAAUCUCUCUUAAUAAGAACAUUAACAUUCUCCAAGCGAGAGCAGAGGCAGUUUGGAACUAGUCAAUUUUCUCUUUUCCAUCUCUUGGUGGAUAAUUGGGAAUACUGAGUUGGGGCAGGAUUACGGUUCCCCAGGUAACUGCUAUGGAAGCAGAAGGGAACAGAUUUCUCUUCACCACACCUCCAGGGGAACAAAUGGCGUGAACGAAAGCAAGAGAAAGACUUGGAUCACGGACAUAAGAUAUAUUGAGGCAACCCUUUAAUGGAACGGAGGGUGCCGUCCUAGGUGAUCUCUGAAGAGCUCGUUUCUUUGGAGGGCUUUUUCAAGUUUCCUUUCAAAGCACACCUCACACCAGGAAUGUGAGGGAAAUGGAUGAAGAACACUAUAGACCAAUUUCAGAUCAUGAGGGGGAAAAAAUACUGUAUGGUUGACUGAAGAGAUGGCAAGGUUACGGGACCAGACAUCUGUUAUUUUUUUCUAAAGAGACCAAUAACACUCAAGGUUUAUAUGCUUGAUUACAAACAGGCACAAGCGGCAUGAAAAUAGAGCUGUUACUCUUUAAAAUUCAGAGCAGGAGAUGCCCAUAAAAAAAAAUUUGACACGGGAUCAGAGGACAACCUCAAUAUCAAGGAUUGGUUAUUAAAAAAUUCCCAGAAAACCUGGCAUCUACUUAUUUGUUAAAAUGCCCAAAUUACACAUGCUCAGAUAAAGAGAGAAGCUUGACCCCGCUACACGCUCCAUUUACCCAAAACAAGCUACUUAUUAACUACCCAUACUGGAUCUGUUUGCUUAGUGAAUAUAAAUAAAUAGAUGCGGGUUGGAAAAAAAAGACGACAAAUUGAGUCUUUUUUUAUUACACAGGUAACUGGUAUUUAAUAGGCAAAUAUGUAGUUAGUAACUGGUAUUUAAUAGGUAAGAGUGUAGUUAGUAACUGGUAUUUAAUAGGUAAGAGUGUAGUUAGUAACUGGUAUUUAAUAGGUAAGCGUGUAGUUAGUAACUGGUAUUUAAUAGUUAAGAGUGUAGUUAGUAACUGGUAUUUAAUAGGUAAGAGUGUAGUUAGUAACUGGUAUUUAAUAGGUAAGAGUGUAGUUAGUAACUGGUAUUUAAUAGGUAAGCGUGUAGUUAGUAACUGGUAUUUAAUAGGCAAGAGUGUAGUUAGUAACUGGUAUUUAAUAGGUAAGAGUGUAGUUAGUAACUGGUAUUUAAUAGGCAAAUAUGUAGUUAGUAACUGGUAUUUAAUAGGUAAGAGUGUAGUUAGUAACUGGUAUUUAAUAGGUAAGCGUGUAGUUAGUAACUGGUAUUUAAUAGGCAAAUAUGUAGUUAGUAACUGGUAUUUAAUAGGCAAAUAUGUAGUUAGUAACUGGUAUUUAAUAGGUAAGAGUGUAGUUAGUAACUGGUAUUUAAUAGGUAAGAGUGUAGUUAGUAACUGGUAUUUAAUAGGUAAGACUGCAGUUAGUAAAUGGUAUUUAACAGGUAAGUACUUUAUUGAGUACAAGUAAAUAUUGUAUAUAUUGUACGUAAGUGCAUAGCAACGUAUGUGGAAAAGCUCAGGUAGCACUCAUACUGGACAAAAACCAUGUAAAAAUAAAAAAUUCCCACCUUGUGCAACUGUGUACACAUGGAGGCCAUGCUAAUGCGAACAGGCAUUCAGUAUAGCCAGCCAAUUAAACAGCCUUUGAUUAGCUUCUAAUGAGAGUUCACACUCAUCUCUAGCCUGGGUCACUUGUUUUGCUUUGGUGGCCUGCUACAAAUGAGCUCUUUUUGCAAGGUUGCCUUCUGCUUGGUCCCCAAAAGACAAACACCUCCACAAUUAGUGUCUGUAAUUGUUCACCCAUCACCUAGACCAAAUGCACCUGUAAUUACAGUGUCCCCGAGCAUGUGCGCACACACAGACAGACAGAGAGACAGACAGACAGAGCAAUUCACACACAUUAGAUGAUGCAUGUCAUUUACAAUGGUGCAGAUGCAUCUUCACAAUCACUUAAGAACGUGAAAAAUAUAGGAGAAACGAUUAUUUAUUUAUUCAUAAAUAAUAAUACUAAUACCAACUUUAAUAGUAACUAUUGUAAUAAUAAUAAUAGGUUCCACUGCCUAGUGAGUCUUACCAUAACAAAACACACAUGCCGAAUAUAAUUAACCUUCUUGCCACGAAACUAUUGCAAGUACUAGUUAAAAGUAUGGACAU
ensembl:lncRNA